rnacentral:rRNA from 1 species
GACGAACGCUGGCGGCGUGCUUAACACAUGCAAGUCGAACGGAAAGGCCCUGCUUUUGUGGGGUGCUCGAGUGGCGAACGGGUGAGUAACACGUGUGUAACCUGCCCUUGACUUUGGGAUAACUUCAGGAAACUGGGGCUAAUACCGGAUAGGAGCUCCUGCUGCAUGGUGGGGGUUGGAAAGUUUCGGCGGUUGGGGAUGGACUCGCGGCUUAUCAGCUUGUUGGUGGGGUAGUGGCUUACCAAGGCUUUGAAGGGUAGCCGGCCUGAGAGGGUGACCGGCCACAUGGGGACUACGAUACGGCCCAGACUCCUACGGGAGGCAGCGGUGGGAAAUAUUGCAGAAUGGGCGGAAGCCUGAUGCAGCAACGCCGCGUGCGGGAUGACGGCCUUCGGGUUGUAAACCGCUUUCGCCGGUGACGAAGCGUGAGUGACGGUAAUGGGUAAAGAAGCACCGGCUAACUACGUG